UUGACAAUACUGCAAAGUUGGACGGCGGAUCCAUUUCUUGGUAAAUGUCUGGAACACCCAUGUGAUGUAGAAAAAGCAGCAAACAGAUGGCAUCCAGGAUCACAUAAUACAACAUCUUGUACGCUCGAAUGCGAGGUGUCUUGAGCGAAGUAUACAAUCGGCAAUAUUUGGAUACAAGGAUCGACAACUCUGUAUGAGAGAUUGAUUUGGAUGAUUUCUCUUCAUAUUUACGGAAAGAUAUCGGAAACUUUGUUUUAGUGAUGAUAAAUCCACUAAUCGCAAUUAUAUUGGUUUCUCGUCACCUCGAAACAUCAAGAAAACAGCUGAAAUGGAAGUACAGACAGAUAUAAGAAUGGAAGAAAUGACAGAGCUCCUGGAUUUGAAGUCGAAAUCCUAGAACCCUGAUGUUUGUCCAGAGAGUCGCGUGUACAUCCAGCGACGGGAGCGUGAAACAGCAUACUGGAGUGUCAUUGAAUAUUUGCACUUUCCAUUAUCGCAACAAUAGAUUCUAGAUCGAUACAAACGAUUAGAGAAUAUUCAUGAAAAUGUGGGAGCCUUUUUUAUAAAGUGUAUUAUAAUUUAAUGAUAGAAUGUUGUCAUUUAUGUUCUAAUGAACCGUUAUGCACUGGAAAAUUGAACGUGUUUUAAGUUUCAAAUGCAAACUAGUGCUAGUGUAAUUUCAAAUAAAAGUUUAUUAUCUAUC